AUUGAACGCUGGCGGCAGGCUUAACACAUGCAAGUCGAGCGGGGGAAGGUAGCUUGCUACCGGACCUAGCGGCGGACGGGUGAGUAAUGCUUAGGAAUCUGCCUAUUAGUGGGGGACAACAUCUCGAAAGGGAUGCUAAUACCGCAUACGUCCUACGGGAGAAAGCAGGGGAUCUUCGGACCUUGCGCUAAUAGAUGAGCCUAAGUCGGAUUAGCUAGUUGGUGGGGUAAAGGCCUACCAAGGCGACGAUCUGUAGCGGGUCUGAGAGGAUGAGCCGCCACACUGGGACUGAGACACGGGCCAGACUCCUACAGGAGGCAGCAGUGGGGAAUAUUGGACAAUGGGGGGAACCCUGAUCCAGCCAUGCCGCGUGUGUGAAGAAGGCCUUAUGGUUGUAAAGCACUUUAAGCGAGGAGGAGGCUACUUUAGUUAAUACCUAGAGAUAGUGGACGUUACUCGCAGAAUAAGCACCGGCUAACUCUGUGCCAGCAGCCGCCGUAA
rnacentral:rRNA from 1 species